GAUGAACGCUGGCGGCGUGCCUAAUACAUGCAAGUCGAGCGAACAGACGAGGAGCUUGCUCCUCUGACGUUAGCGGCGGACGGGUGAGUAACACGUGGAUAACCUACCUAUAAGACUGGGAUAACUUCGGGAAACCGGAGCUAAUACCGGAUAAUAUAUUGAACCGCAUGGUUCAAUAGUGAAAGACGGUUUUGCUGUCACUUAUAGAUGGAUCCGCGCCGCAUUAGCUAGUUGGUAAGGUAACGGCUUACCAAGGCAACGAUGCGUGGCCGACCUGAGAGGGUGAUCGGCCACACUGGAACUGAGACACGGUCCAGACUCCUACGGGAGGCAGCAGUAGGGAAUCUUCCGCAAUGGGCGAAAGCCUUACGGAGCAACGCCGCGUGAGUGAUGAAGGUCUUCGGAUCGUAAAACUCUGUUAUUAGGUAAGAACAAAUGUGUAAGUAACUAUGCACGUCUUGACGGUACCUAAUCAGAAAGCCACGGCUAACUACGUG
rnacentral:rRNA from 1 species